rnacentral:rRNA from 1 species
UAGGGAAUCUUCCGCAAUGGGCGAAAGCCUGACGGAGCAACGCCGCGUGAGUGAUGAAGGUCUUCGGAUCGUAAAACUCUGUUAUUAGGGAAGAACAAAUGUGUAAGUAACUAUGCACGUCUUGACGGUACCUAAUCAGAAAGCCACGGCUAACUACGUGCCAGCAGCCGCGGUAAUACGUAGGUGGCAAGCGUUAUCCGGAAUUAUUGGGCGUAAAGCGCGCGUAGGCGGUUUUUUAAGUCUGAUGUGAAAGCCCACGGCUCAACCGUGGAGGGUCAUUGGAAACUGGAAAACUUGAGGGCGGAAGAGGAAAGGGGAAUUCCAUGUGUGGCGGUGAAAUGCGCAGAAAUAUGGAGGAACACCAGUGGCGAAGGCGACUUUCUGGUCUGUAACUGACGCUGAUGUGCGAAAGCAGGGGGAUCAAACAGG